rnacentral:rRNA from 1 species
UACGGAGGGCGCAAGCGUUGUUCGGAAUCACUGGGCGUAAAGCGCGUGUAGGCGGCCGGGCAAGUCGGAUGUGAAAUCCCGAGGCUCAACCUCGGAUCUGCAUUCGAAACUGCUCGGCUCGAGUCCCGGAGAGGAUGGCGGAAUUCCCGGUGUAGGGGUGAAAUCCGUAGAUAUCGGGAGGAACACCAGCGGCGAAGGCGGCCAUCUGGACGGUGACUGACGCUGAGACGCGAAAGCGUGGGGAGCAAACAGG